rnacentral:rRNA from 1 species
GUGCCAGCCGCCGCGGUAAGACAGAGGGUGCAAACGUUGUUCGGAAUUACUGGGCGUAAAGCGCGUGUAGGCUGCUUCGCAAGUCGGAUGUGAAAGCCCUGGGCUCAACCCAGGAAGUGCAUUCGAAACUGCAAAGCUGGAGUCCUGGAGAGGAAGGCGGAAUUCUCGGUGUAGAGGUGAAAUUCGUAGAUAUCGAGAGGAACACCGGUGGCGAAGGCGGCCUUCUGGACAGUGACUGACGCUGAGACGCGAAAGCGUGGGGAGCAAACAGGAUUAGAUACCCUGGUAGUCCACGCCGUAAACGAUGGGUGCUAGGUGUUGCGGGCUUUGACCCCUGCAGUGCCGUAGCUAACGCAUUAAGCACCCCGCCUGGGGAGUACGGCCGCAAGGCUAAA